rnacentral:rRNA from 1 species
CACGUAGGGGGCGAACGUUGUUCGGAAUUACUGGGCGUAAAGGGCAUGUAGGCGGUCUGAUAAGCCUGGCGUGAAAGGCUUCGGCUCAACCGAGGCAUUGCGUUGGGAACUGUCGGACUGGAAUCACGGAGAGGGAGAUAGAAUUCCAGGUGUAGGGGUGAAAUCUGUAGAUAUCUGGAAGAAUACCGGUGGCGAAGGCGAUCUCCUGGCCGAUGAUUGACGCUGAGGUGCGAAAGUGUGGGGAU